GUUAUGGCAGCGCCAUUGGCAGUGGCGGAAUUGACGAUAGCAGUCAUUCUUUGUAUAAAAUAAUUAAUUAAAAUAUGCAGGAGUUGUUAAAGUAACAAUAGCAAUAAACACUGGAAAAUUUAACAGCAGAUACAAACAAUAACUGUCACGUGAUUGUUGUUUUUCCCCGCCAAUUUAGGUCAUGAAAAUAUUGUUGUUUAUAGAUAAAAAAUGAAAGUGUCAGCGGCUGCCAUCGAAUUAGUAGACACAAAUAUCUGUAAAUUUUGUGUGAGAAAAACGUUUUUUUUAACAUUUUAUGGUUAAAUAUCAAAUAACAGUGCACUAAGUGUGAGUGGUGAAAUCGAAAGUAAAAUUUCUAAGUUGACACCGGUGACCUAGUUUCACAAGUUCGGUCGGUGGUGUUUAUGGAUUUUAAAUCACAAAAUGGUUUGGAAAUACUUGUCAAUGAGUCAAUGCAAAGCUUGUGUUUAUUCUAGAUUACAUGUUUAUUCAUGUUUGGGUUAAUAUAGAGUAAAAACAAUGAAAGAGUUGAACACAUGUGCCAAUGACAUUUACUAAUGCCAGGAGUUGUGUGCAAAACAUCUAGAUAAAACAACACGGAAAACUAUUUUGAAUAAAUCCAUUUCAAUUUGUAAUGAACUUGGUAUUUCACUAUAAAUGAGAUUUGUUGUUGUAACCAAGGAAUACUCUUUAAAAUGAAAAAUAAAACAAACAUGAAGUAUUGAUGCCCUGUGAACGCAUGUAUACACAAAAUGGCGGAGUUGGGAGAAGAUGAAAAUAUUCGAUACAUAAUUAUGGGUUUCUCUGUUACUAUCAUUGGUACAUAAAGUUAAGUCACAUGCUAGAUUUAUUAUUUUGCUAUGUGAUUUGUAUGUACUGAUGUGGUAAUUUGCUGCAAGAUUUGAAUUUGAAAUGGAUUUGGUAAACAUCCCAUGGUAAAUAUCCCGGUCCGAUAAUAUCCGAACUUAGCAUGGAUCGGGUUACACACAACUAGGACCCCGCAUGAGUCAGACGUAACCAGUGGCAACUGCAGUGCCAGAUACUGUUGUUCUGGAUCCUUGACUCUGGCAGCCCCAGUUGCAGAAACUUUUGGUCACUACUGCCCUAUUGGAAGCCUUGAAGAAAUCCGAUACGACUCAGGGGUUUAAGAGAAUUGAAGUUACGACUAAAAUCCUUUAUUGAAACGGCCCCCUGGCACGUACCAAGACGAGACAUGACCAUCCACUUGCAAAGAAUGUCCAAAGGGUCACUUCUGUGACAAUACUAUUGCCCCGUUGGUGCUGUUCAUAUGGAUAACCAAGCGUCAAAUUUAAAACCAAGCGGAAAAGAGGCAUCUAUAUGGGAACAUUAUGCAAAUGGGCUGGGUUUAAAUUCCAGCUGGUUUUUAAAAAAAACAGGCGUAAAAUAAACCAAGCGUCAAAAAACCAAGCGUCAAAAAACAAGCGUCGAAAAACCAGGCGUCAACAAAACAACAGGCGUCAAAAGUUGGCAUUACUUGAACACAACCAGUUUGAGUUAAGAACAAUUUAUAGUUUGGAAAACAGGACAAUAAAACAUUGUUUAAUAUAUUUUCUUAAAAAAGGCACAGCUGAAAAUGUUAUUUUUUUACACAUUUUUACUAUCACUUAUUGUUUUAAGAGUUCAUAUUCUGUGUUUAAUUUGUUUUCGACAGAAUGAACCUUGUUCCGUUAUCGCCCUAUUUAGUUCUGCUUCUGUUGGUGAUUCCGCUUCAUUCUUAUUGCACCAUCUGGGAACGUAAUCUAGCUGUAAAAAUAACUUUAAAUGUAUUUAUUCAAAUGAUGAUUUCCUGAUCUAUAGCAAU